ensembl:lncRNA
GAAUCCUCUCUGAUGUUUUGCUGGGUACAUGACAAUGUUCUCUUUUAUUUAGUUUUGUAUUCUUUUCUGUUUUGCUUAUUCUCUUUGUUUUUUUUAAAUAAAAUUAAAGUUAAAAAAAUGAAGAUACAAAAGAUAUUAAUCAUUGAAAUCAGAGACUUUACACUCUAGCUAAGAUAAUUCAAACAGACAGAGGCAUAGAGACCAAGAUGAGGUAUUUUGGUUUGGAAAGUUAUAGGAAUAAUGAAUUAAGUUAUAGGAGAGAACAGAUGAACCCUUUCCAGUGGUGAUGGUAAUAUUGACUUUAUUAUGAUUUGAAAAUGGGAAAGACAAGAGGUCUAAAAUUCCAGUGAAAGGGAAAUCAGUGUCAGGAUUUAAGGAGAAGUAUGGCUGAAGUUAGAUAGACAUAGUGGCCCAAAGGAGGUAUUCACCACAGGAUAGCAAGACCCCUUGGCAGGAGUUUCUGGGCUGAAAUAAGAGUGCUUUUAAAGUCUUAAAGGCCUGGAGUCAGAAAAUUACUGUGAGGAUCAAAUGAGAUAAUAUAUUUGUAAAGCACUUAGCAUACUGCUUGGUACAUAGUAGGUGCUUAAUAAAUGUUUUUUUCCUAUCUUCCUUUCUAUAUAAACAAAUAUUAUGUUAUUAUUAAUAAUAUAGAAUGUGGGGGCAGCUAGAUGGCUCAGUGGAUAGAGCACUAGCCCUGAAGUCAGGAGGACCUGAGUUCAAAUAUGAUCUCAGAUACUUAAUACUUCCUAGCUGUGUGACCCUGGGCAAUUCACUUAACCCCAAUUGCUUAGGGAAAAAUACAGAUAUAGAUAUUACCAUCCCAAUUUUACAGUGGAAAAAACUGAGACCUAGAAAAUCUGUAGUCAGUCCCAGUUCACCUAGCAAGUUAGAAUCAGAAUCCAGGAAUAGACCUUGAUGUCAUGAUACACCCUCCCCCUUCUCCAACAGGGAUGACCCUAUUUAGUCAUAUUGCUUUCUUAUCCUCCUGGUCACAGUGCAAUUCAAUCUGUCACAGGUACAGUGGGCCACCAAGAUGUGAAGAGCCUGGUCCUCCCGAGCAGAAAUGAUGGCCUUUGCUUCUUUUGAUUAAUCAAGCACAUGUUCUCUUCUAUUAGGAGGGAUUAAGUUGGUACUGCACCAGGGACCUAGUUUGCCUAUAAAUCAUCCCUUGCUUGCAACAGCAAUUCCCAUCCAGGACUCACUCCAGCGCUUAUUAUAAGGAUGGUUAGCUGGGCCCAUCUCCUGCUGAAUAAAUGAGGUCCCUAUCUGAAAAACCUCCAGUCUUACAGCCCAGCAAAGUUGCUAUCCAUAUUGGUAAGUGGUUUUUCAGAUGCUGAGGAAAAGUAGUCAUGUCAUUUUCCAUCCCCAGAGGCCAAAACCUUAUUUGUAAAAACUGGAUUUCCAUAAACAAUCAUUCCAUCUUCCCAGCGUCCAACAUGAGAUCUGACCAAUGAUGAGGGAAUGACACUGCUUUAUCAAGCAUUUUAGAGAGGAAAGGAAUUGACAUGAAAAAGAAAGAAGGAAAGUCAUUGAGUUUAGAAUCAUGGGCUCUUCAAGAUGGAAGGAAUUUAGAGAUGAUUUAAUUCAAUUUCCUUCAUUCCUCUCCCCACUUUUUUUUUCUUUAGCAGAAGUGGAAGCUGAGGAUGAGAAAAAUGUGGAGUGACAUGGUUAUAAUCAUGAUCAUACAGUAUAUUAAUAGCAGAUUGAAAUUGGAAAUCAGGUCGUCUGUUCUCAGUCCCAGGGCCAUUUCUACUACCCUCCUUUCAUUCUUUGGUUUAUGCUUGAUUUUUAAAUUAUCAUUGUUAUUGUUGUUGUAAUUAUGGAUGAUGAUGAUGAUGAUGAUGAUUGAUGAUGCAUUGACCAGGCUCCAGAGGUAAUCAGACCCAGUCAAUAUCAAUAAUGGUUGCCAUUUAAAAGGCUAUGCUUUAGAUUUAUAAAAUAUUUUCUAGGAUCUAGGAUCUAGUUUACAUAUUUAAAUCCCCCUUUUCCAGAGGAAGAAAUAAAGCCUCAGAGAGAGAUUGCACAUCUAGUUAGGAAGGAAUCCUAAGGAAGUUCAGGUUUCUUCUCUAAGCUCAAAGUCAGCACUCUCUGUAGUCAGGAAGACCUGACUUCAAAAACGCCUUAAGCCUAGUGUGUGAUACUUAGCAAAUCAUUUAAUCACUCUUUGCCUCAAUUUCCUCAAUGUAAAUUAGGGAUAAUAAUAGUACCUACCUCCCAGAGUUGUUUUAAGAAUCAAAUGAAUUAGUGUAUAUUAGGUGUUACUCAAACUUUAAAGUCCUAUCUAUUAUCAGUUCUUGCUUUUUGAGUAUGAAUGAGUUCAAUCUUCCCUCCUGAGAACAGGAGAGUUAGAGAGAUCUAAUUAAUAGUGAAGGAAUAGCUAGGUAAAGCAGUGAAUAGAGCAGUGAGCCUGCUCAGGAAGACCCAAGUUCAAGUUUGGCUUCAGACACUUAGUAGUUGUCAUUUAACUUCUAUUUGCCUUAAUAUCUCAUCUGUAAACUGGAGACACAAUGGAGAAGGAAAUGAAUUAAUUUACCAAGAAAACUCCAUUUUGUCUGUGAGAGUCAUGUAGAAUUGAACAUAAAUGGAUGACUAAACAACAAGUUAGUUUGAAAAUGAUUAGUGUUGGGAACUGUGUACUGUUAGGGUCUGAACAGUGGAAAAAUCUUAGAAUCAUAGAUUUAGAGCUGGAAGGAUCCUCAUAGUCCCACCUCAUUAUUUUAUAUAUGGCAAAACUGAGGCACAGAUAAGCUAGUAAGAGACAGAGUUGGAAUUCCAAUCCAAGUAUCUGCUGGUGAAGCACAUUUUCCAUUGCAUGUUUUGGUUAAUGUAUGAUUCCAGUUAGGAAUUAGCAUGGUUCUGGUUGACACAUUUAGAGUCCCCAGAGCUACCCAAACUUGGUCUUAGAACACAAUAUAACCUAAAAAUGAUGUGUAUACAUAUUGUGGGAAGCGCCUCUCACACCUUAAAUCCUAGGCCUGCAGAACUGAAAAAAAUGGGUGCCAAUUUUCUCCUUGAAUGUAGGGUUGGGGAAGAAGAAUUAAAGUUGAUGCCACCUACCCCUUCCCAGUUCUGUCUUCAGCCUCUGAUCUUUUCCUGCCCUAGAUUCCCAGGUAAUGAUUGUUGAGAAAAAAAAAUAUAUUAAGUUCCAAACUACUUCUUCCAUUUCUACAACCGUUGGUAAUAACACAGCAGGCUUGAGAAGGUUGCUCCCAGGCCUUGAAAGAGUUUAGGAAUUCCCAUGUGUCUUCUUUGAGGGAAUCACUGGCGGAAGUAAUCUCCACCAUCCUAUAUGUCUCCCUCAAACACCCACAGAGUUUUCUUCCAAAUUUUAGAAAAGACAAGCUUUUUGGAGAUGACAGAGGAAUUCAAAAUCAUUAAAUCAUUAAACACAAAAGUAGAAAAGAAGAAAGACAGAUUUCAGCAGAAUGAGCAAGAAUUAGAAAAUCAAAGGCAAAUAAAGACAUUUGGAACUGGGAGAGACCCCAGAGAUUUUCUGUCUCAACUUUCUCAUUUUUCAGAUAGGAAAACUGAGGCUAAGAGCGACUUAGCUAAAGUCACAUAGAUAGUAAGAAGCCACCAUUUGAAAAUAAUCUUUUCUGUUUAUUUUGGGAAGCAACUGGGGGUAAAUAAUUUGCCCAAGUCACACAGCUAAUAAGUAUCAAGUGGCUAAGGCUGUAUUUGAACUCAGGUCUUCUGGGUUUCAGAGUGGGUGAUCGAUAGGUCACUGUACCAUCUAGCUGUCCAGUUGCUAUCCCUAUAAUUAUUACUGGGUUAAAGUAAGAUGGUCUUGGAAUCAGGAAGAUCUGAGAGCUCAAAUGCAGACUCACAUAUCCAUGUGAUCCUUGGCAAAGUACUUAACUGCUUUUGGAUUCAGCCUCCUUAACUAUAAAAUAGGGAUAAUAACAGCACCCAUCUCCCAGGAUCUGUGAAGAUCAAAUGAGAUCGUAUUUGAAAAGUGCUUAGCACAGUGCUUUAGUAGGUGCUUAACAAAUGAGGCAAUAUUGGCACAAGCUUUGCUAAUCUAAAAACACUAAAUCAGUAUUGGCAAUACUAAAUAGUAGUAUCAAGAUUCAAAUCCAGAUCUUCAGAAUUCAAAACUAGUGCUCUUCUCAUAGCACUAAAUUUCCUCUUUGUUAAGAUACUAGAAUCACUGUUGUCUGUGUCCUAAAAAGAUUGCACAAGAGGGGAAAGAACCCAUUUGUGCAAAAAUAUUUAUAACAGCCCUUUUUGUGGAGCCAAGAAACUGGAAAAUGAGUGGAUGUCCAUCAAUUUGGGAGUGGCUGGGUAAGUAAAUAUUAUUGUUCUAUAAGAAAUGGUGAGCAGGCUGAUUUCAGAAAAACCUAGAAAAAUUUACAUGAAUUGAUGUUGAGAGAAGUGAAAUUGCUGCCCUCAUCCAGAGGGGGAUCUAUGGGAUACAAUGCAGAUUGAAACAUUAUUUUCACCUUUCUUGUAAGUUUGUUUGCUUUUUCCUUCUCGUGGUUUUGUCCCUGUUGGUCUGAUUUUUCUUGCAACCAUGACAAAUGUGGAAAUAAGUUUAAAAGGAUUGCCUAUGUUUGAUCCAUAUAAGAAUUGUCACUUUCUUGGGGAGGGAUGAGGUAAGGAGAAAAAUUUGGGACACAAAAUCUUCCAGAAAUCAAUAAUGAAAACUAGCUUUACAUGUAUUUGGAAAAAUAAAAUACUAUUGAGAAAAAAAAAGAGAAAAAAGGUACUAGAGGCAAAAGCCAAUUCAAGACAUCUACUUGUACCAUGGGAAAGAACAGGGUUUGAGAUGCUAAAAGGAAGGGAGGGAAAUGGAAUUCUGCCUAAGGAAAUGAGAGGACAAGCAUAGAAUGAUUAGCUUCCUAGAGCUGGAAAGAACUCUUGCUUGAGCUCACCUAUCUCUGAGGUUCAGAGAAGGAAAGAGACUUAUUUGAGGUUGUGGAACAGAUAAAAAGAGCUAUCAUUUGAAUUCAUGCUGUCUGGCUUCAAAUCCAAUUCUUCUAUUGUAUCACAUUGCUAUACCCUAGGCUGGGGGGUUCCUGUAAAUGCUAAGAGCUGUCAGAGAGGGAAAUGAGGGGGAGUGUGGGGAGGUAAAAUGCCCUAGGUCACACUCAAGAUGUUUUUGCCUAGAAGAAAGUGACUGUGAAAAGCCCAUUUACGAGGUUGGGAGAGAAAGCCUUUAGAGAGCUGGUUUAGAAGUGAGAAUUAAGGCUAAUGUGUCCACUGGGAAUGAGAGACUCCAUGUGGAUGGAUUAUGCUGCUAGAAUUUUUUAAAAAAUUGACUUCCCUUAUUUCAAAGCCAUCUUCAAAUGACACCUCCUCCAGGGAGCCUCCUCUGACUCAGACAGGGCAAGGUAGGAGCCCUGAAAAGUGUUGAUGAGACAAUGGAGCUCCCCUCCCUCUUCCCUGAAAUCUCUCCACUCACUCAGUCUCAUGCUGAAUGAAAAACUAGCACUACAUUCAAGGCUGGGGGCUCUUAGGAGAGGCUGAACAAUUGUUUCAUCAGGCGAAGACUGCCUGGCAGAUGGCUCUGAGAACAAAGAGUAGAUUUUUUUCCUCCUUGAUUUUCCCUCCUUUCCUUAGAAUCACUUUAAAAUACACUUGCAUCAAUGAGAUCAUUCACUCACACAUUCACAGGCUCUGCCUGUGCACACAUAGCACAUCACCCCACGAAUUUACAUGCAGACCCGCAUUGGCGCAUUCACAAAUAUGCACAUGCAUUCAUAUCCACAACCUCAAUUCGAAUCAGCAAACAAUUCAACAAACAGUCAUUAAAUGCCUGCCACGUCCUUGGCCCUGGGCAGUUCAAUGUAUUUAUCAGUGUCUUGGAUGAAGGCAUAGAAGGCAUGCUUGUCUAAUUUCCAGGUGACACAAAGCUGUGAGGGAGAGCCAAAGCCUUGAGCCACAAAUUCAAAACUAAAAAACCUGGAUGGUACGAUUCCUUAAGAAGAGAGCUUUUUAGUCAAGGAAUGGAUGAUUUCUUGGGGAGCACCAGCAUUAAGAAUUACUUCAAGAAUAACUCCAAAGUGGAUAAUGUCCAAGUUCAGAAAUUAUUUGGUCAGAAUCUUCAGGGAAAGGAGAUUUCCUGAAGGAACAUGAUGUCUCUUGGAGAAAAAAGAGAUUUACCUACAGUGUUCCUGUUCAAGGUAAAGCCAGUGAGUUAGUUAUCUAGGCAGAACAGAUUUAAUGAAAAGGAGAUUAUUUGCUCAGCUUACUUCAAAAUGUUUUUACCUUCCCGAAGGAAGUCUAAACCAGAGAGCAGUACUGUGAAACUUGGAACAACUGUGUAGAACAAUAGGAUAGAUGGAAGCCACUAGAAUGUCAAAGUGAUUUUAUGAUGGGAAUUUCAACAUGAGUUCCUUUUGGGGGCAUAAAAUGUGACCUGGCACUGAUGGAAAGUUUACUUUAUAGGUUUUCUUUUGUUUGUGUAAACUCCUAUAAAUCCUUUGUGUCAUACACUUUUUCUGGGGUUACAAAUAAAAACUAUCUUAAUUUGUGGGUUGCACCUGGAACACUUGAAUGAAAACUGGAAAUCCUUUUUUUUAAAUCAACAUUUGGGAAAAUCUAGACUCCUUGAAAGAGUCUUAAGUUCCCCUCCCACCCUGCCCUGGAGAUUACUGGACCAUACUUUGAGAACCUUGGAAGACUGAACAAAUGUGAGAGAUGUGGGGGAGGCAGAAUUGAUAAGACUUGUUGAUUGAUUGAAGACCUGAAUACUAUAGAAUUAGAGUGUGAUUUUGUUGCAUCUAAUGGCAGCUAGAGAGCACAGUGUGUAGAAUGUUGUGUCUGGAGUCAGGUAGAGCUGAAUUCAAAUCCAGCCUCAAAUACUUAUUAGCAGUAUGACCCAGAGCAAAUGCCUUGCCUCAAUUUCCUCAUUGUAAAAUGGGGAUCAUAAUAGUACCUACUUCCUAAAGUUAUCAUGAAGAUUGAAUGAAAUCAUAUUUGUAAAGUGCUUAGCAUGGGCUAGCACAUAACUAAUGCUUAAUAAAAGCUUGUUUUCUGCUUUCUGAUUGUGUGACAUCAGAUUAGGAAGGAUCUAAGCCAAUUGAUUGGAUUUGGACAGGGCUUCUAAGCCUUGACAUUGUGGAUAUGAGUUAUUAGAGGUGCAAAUUAGAAGAAGAGAAAUGCACUUCUGUAUAUAUGCUGCAUCUAGAUGGUGCAAGGAGAGAGUGCUGGGUCUCAGGUAAGAUGCUCCAAUUAAAAUCCAGCCUCAAAUGCUUACUAGUUAUGUCAUCCUAGGCAAGUCACUUAACCUUUCUCUGCCUCAGUUUCCUCAUUUAUAAAAUGGAAAUAAUAAUAACACCUACUUCCCAGGUAAUUGUAUGGAUCAAAUUAGAUUGUAUUUGUAAUGUUCUUUACAAAUCUUAGAGUGGUACAUAAAUACUUCUUCUUCAUCAUCAUCAUCAUCAUCAUCAUCGGCACAUUUUAAGGAAUUCACAGAUAUACUUAGAAAAUGGUCAUUAGAGGCUUGGGACUGAAAGAUUAAUCAUUUGUCAGGGUGCCCAGAAUCCUAUCCCUGUUGUCCAGGAGGCAGAGAAAGCAUCCCAAGGCAGCCUCUCCCCAUAAUGGGUCUGGUUUGUCAGGCUUUCGAUCGAUCUCAGACAGGUAAUGCUGUGAGCUUCCAAUCAUUCUAAAUUCAUUUGGAAUUCAGCGUCAUAGCAGGGGAGCUGGGUGAAUUCAUUAGACAUUGUCAGAAAUGGCCUCUCUCCUGACGGAGGCUGCCCCUGAAAUCCAAUGCUAAUUAAGCCUUAUUUUGUGGAGACACAAAGAGCUAUGGCCCUUUUUUCUCCCUACAAGAGCAUUCAUCUGCCUCUCUAUUGCAAACAUGAAUUAUUUAACAAGGUCUGUUCAGACCUUGGACUUUAGAUUCGGAAGUAGCUACUAUGGAAGGAAAUAAGAUUUCUCUGAUAGAGGAGAGAUAGGUGGGAGUGAGCAUGGCAAGUACUAAGAGAUUCCCAGACACUCAAAGCUGAAACCCCUAUGACAGGCACAUUCGGGUAAGAGAGUGUUAUUACUGGCACCAGAAGACCUACAUUAAAAUCCUACCUCUGACACUAGCUGGCACUGAGCAAGCUAUUCAUCUCUCAGUUUAUUGGUCUGUGAAAUGGGAAAAUGAUAGCACCUUCCUCACCAAGUUGUUGUGAGGCUCAAACAAGAAGUAUACACACAUUAUAAAAUUUGGAAACACUUAUAUGUGCUAGGCGCUGUCCUAGGUGCUGAGGAUACAAAUGCAUAAAUUAAGUUUUCCUCGCUUUCUAUAAGGAGAGACGUGUGUGUGUGUGUGUGUGUGUGUGUGUGUGUGUGUGUGUAAAUAUAGUUAUGGAUAGAGAGAUAGAUGGGUAUAGAUAUAGACAUAUAGACAUCUAUAUCUAUACCCAUCUAUAUCUAAAAGUGCACACCAAAUACAGGAAUACAGACAUAUGGACUGGACUUGUGAUUUCAGUGGUAUAUGAAACUCAGUGAUGUGGAAAAUCUACUUUACUGACCCAAUUCUCAUCUUCUUUGGAACUUUAUAAUCUUAUGAAGUCACCUUAUACAUUAAAAAUUAAUUGCUCACACAGAUAGGAUGUAUCAGAAGUAGGACUUGAACCUAGAACUCUCUGAGGAUAGGAACUAUUUUCAUCUUUUUUUGUGUACUCAGAGAUUAACAUAGUGCCUAAUACAUUUAGUACUUUGAUCAUUCAGUUGUGUCUGAAUGAUUCCAGUUGGGAUUUUCUUGGCAAAAAUACUGGAGUGGUUUGCCCUUUCCUUCUUCAGCUCAUUUUACAGAUGAGGCAGAUAGGUUGUUCAGGGUCACAAAGCAAUAAGUGUCUGAAGAUAGAUUAGGAUUCAGAUUUUCCUGACUUUAAGCCCACUUUAGGCCAUUUAGCUGUUCUAACUAGAAUUUAGAAGGAGCCUAUUAAAUACUUGUUAAUUGAUGCUAUUCUAUGUGACUCCAUUCCCUUUUCCUGCCUUCAGCUAUAAAAUGAAAACAAGAAUUCUAUGAUUCUUUGAAGCACACGAUUUUAUAUAUUACAAAGGGAGGCUUCAUUAGGACCCCAUCCUUCCUUACCUUCUACAACUGAAUUUCAUUAUUCUUUGCAGCAGUCCUUAAAAUAGUUCUUCCUCAGCCAGAGAUUGAUCCCCUAUCACUAGAGUAAUCUAUAUAAUCAAUUAUAGCCUGAAGCUUGAAUACAAUUCCAGACUGAAUCCUAACUGAUGGCCAUGUUAUAGAUGGGUGUUGUUGGGGAAUGGUAAUCAUAAAUGACUUGGUACAAGUUAUCCCUACUAUUGGAAGCAUCACAGAACCAAACUUUUGUUGAUAGUGAGACUCCUAGCUGCCUCUUGGCUCCCAUAAUGCAUUUGUAUUGUACCCCAAAAUUUGGCUGGGAGUUUGCUUACUCUUGAGAAAUCAAGGCUUUUCUUUCUGUGAUUCCAAUCCUUCUCUGAGAUUUGCUAUAUAUUGCUAAAUCUCAGAGUCCCCCUCCUCUCAUCAACAUGCCUCAAAUUCAAGUACUCAUAAGAUACCAGAACUCUGAUAGCAGCUCAACGCCAAAUGCUUUCCCUGCCUUCUGAACAAUUGGAGUAGGACUCUGGGAUCCCUGACAAAUGAUUAAACUUUUAGUCUUUCCCCAGCUUUUAAUGAUCAUUCCCUAAGUAUAUAUGUGAAUCCUUAAAAUGUGGUGAUGGUGAUGAUGAUGAUCAAAUAUUCCCCUCUUCUAACCCCCUAUCAAAACUAUCUGGUCUAUUUCACUAUAUUCUUAUCUAAUCCAUAUCUGUUCAUCUUGUCCGCAAGGUCAGCAUGAGAAAUUUGAUCAAAGGCUUGGCUAAAAUCAAAGAUUGUACCACAUUGGCAGCCUUAUCCUCACUUAGAAAUCUAAAGAAUCUGUCAAAAAGGGAAUGAGAUUUUUCUUUACAGUAUAUGUUUUUUGAGAAAGGCAUGCUGAGUUUUAGUGAUCUUUCUGGUUGUUCAAUAGCCAUCCUUUUGAUAAGAUAGUCCAGAAUUUUUCUGGAAUUCUAAUUCAAGUGACUUGAUCUGCAGUUUCUUUUAUUUUUCUUUGUCCUUGUCAAGUCACUUAACUCUUUUCCUUUAUCCAUGAUCACAGAUAAGUGCUCAGCAAUCAUAUCUACAAGUUCUUUCAGAACUCUGGAAUGUAGACCUGGCCUAGUGAUGGAGUUUAUUGAAGGCCAAUAGUAUUCUCAUUAUUUUCUCACUUCUCUUUGAUUUUAACUAUUAAUUAACUAUGAUCUUUCCCCCAUGGUAUUCCAGUCCAAAAUUCAUUCUUUGUGGCAGAGAAAACAGAAGCAUAAUAAGGAACUGAAGACUAAGAGGGGCAAUGGACACUGAGAGUCAGGAGAACUUGUAUCCCUGAGUUCAAAUCUGUCUUAGAUAUUUACUAGCUAUGUGACUAUGGGCAAAUCACUUAACACUGUUUGCCUCAGUUUUCUUAUCUGUAAAAUGAACUGGAGAAGGAAAUAGCAAAUCAUUUCAGUUAUCUUUUUUCAAGAAAAUUCUAUCUGGGGCCAUGAAGAGUUGGACAUGACUGCAAAGAGAAAAUGGCUACUCCCAAAGGAACAAAAUUCCAAGGGUGAAAUUUCAAGCACUUUGGCAGGCCUCUGGCAGGAGUGUAGGGUAACAUAUGGGGGAAGAGCAUGAAGGAGAAGUUUAUGAAUCCCAUCAUAUCACACCAUGCAUGUGGCUGCCAAUAUCUCGUUUAUCUCUUCAUAUUUUUAUAGAGAGCCGGGGUUCUGAAUGAUAAAGUCUGACCUUAUAAAACACAUUGGAGUCUUACUAGAGGAAUAGGAAUUACCUAGAGGAAAAGAAAUGCUAGGAAGAUCAUAUGAAAAAGAAAAGCUGGUCCUUUAAAAGAGGAGAUGGCUCCAUGUAGUGGAAUAUAAAUCUUGGACUGGGCUUCCAGUUCCAGCUUUGCUUUUAAUUGAUUUGAUGACUUUGUCUACAUUCUUUCCUCUCUAUGGGCUCUCCAUUUCCUCAACUACAAAAUUAGAUAGUUGGACUAGACUCAGUUUCCCCAGUUGAAAAAUGAGAGGGUUGGACUAGAUAACCUCUAAGGUGCCUUUCAGCUCUAGUGUUGUGAGCCUAUAAUCCUAUGAUCUAAGGUCCUUUCAACUCUAAUACCUUGUGAUUCUGGUAUUAGAAACAUCGAGGAAAUAUAUGCUUCCCUCCAUUCUUGAGUCUCUUGAGCCAUUCUGUAUGACUGCUCCUGCCCACAUUCUAACUUGUAUAAUUGUCUCUAAAUGUCUUCUUUUUUAAAAAUAUUGGUUUAUAUUUUUAAAAAGUAGAUUUUCUUUCCCUCUACUCUCCCUCCAUCACUGGAAAGAAAAAAGGAAAAAGAAAACAAUUGUAACAAAUAUGCAUAAUCAAGUAAAACAAAUUCCUGCAUUGAACUUGUCCAGAUCUACACAUCCACACAUAGAUAUACAUAAAUAUAGAUAUGCAUAUACAAAUAUUACAUAUUAUUUUAUGCAUGUUUAUGUGUACAUAUAUGUGUACAUGCAUAUACACAUAUAUAGAAAGACAGAGAGACAAAGACAAACACGAACAGAAAGAGAUACUGGGAGAGAGAAGUCAGAGAAAUAGACAGAGACAAACACCCAUAGAAAUAGACAGAUAAACACAGAGUGAGAUAGAGACAGAGACAGAGUCAGACAGACACACAGAGACAGAGAGAGAGACAGAGAAAGAAAGAAAGAGAGAGAAAAAAACAGAAACAGAGAAAGGAGGGGGCAGAGGAAGGGAGGGAGGAAAAAAGAGUCAGACAGAGAGAUAGACUGAUAGACAGAGACAGAGAUAGAGUUUUAGAGAAAGAAAGUAUUUAAUUAUCAUCCUGAGAUUGUAAGUGCGUUUUAACUCACACUUAUAUUCCCCUAGCAUCUAACACAGAACACAUAAUAAGCCAGAAUAAAUGUAUAUUCAUUUGAUUGGAAUUCCUUAACCAUUCACCUCAUAUACAAUGUAGGCCUGUGUAGGUGCUCAGUAAAUUCUUGUGGAACAGUAUGGUGCACAGGACAAAUGCUGCAGUCAGAUUCAGGGAACUGGAGUUUGGAUCCUCAGCUUGCCUCUGCUACUUCCUAUCCCAGUGGUUUCAUUGGUGUACGACAAUGAGAAAACAACCUUUACUAAUAAACUUCAGUGCCUACUCUGAAGUUUAUAGUCUUUGAGAUUUGGUGGGACAAUGAGAGGGUAAGUGACUUUCCCAGUGUUAUUGCACUAGUGUGUGAUAAAGAUAAGACAUGAACUCAGGUCUUUUCCUGUCCUUAAGGCCAAUUUUUUACCUAUUAUGCUACAUUUCCUCUUUACUGUUUUAAAGAUCUGGAAAAAAAAGUACUCUGUGAGUUGGGAAAGGGAAGAUCACUAGAGAUGUGGAAUGAUUGAAGGUUUUUGGUAGAAGAUUUGCUUUAUUUUUAAAUUUAAUUAAAUUUUGUUUUUAUUUUUAUUUUAUUUUAUUUUUUUGGUUUAAUGUCACAAUCAUUUCCUGGUAUUAAUUCCUUCCCCAGUGAACUCUAGUUACCUAGGAAAAACCUGUUAAGCAAAACAAAAUGAUAAAAUGAACAGAUUUACAACAUUAUGAAUUUCUGAUCCUCCACUUUUUUUUUUAACCAAGAGGGAAGUACAUUGUAUCAUUUGCUAUUUUGUCUUUUAUUUUCUUAAAGUUGGUCAUUAUAAUUAAUCAGAGUUGGGCUACUUUUCAGGAUUGCUUUCCCUGGCAUUAUUGUAUUCACUGUUCACAGAAUCACAGAAGCCUUUAUUUGGAAGAAAUCUCAUCAAUCAUUAGGUAAAACCCAUAAAUAUAGCACUAGAUCAUUCUCCACCAAUGGUUAUCCUGUAUAUACUUGAAAAUCUCUAAAGAAAAGGAAUUCUUCACUUCCAGAGGAAGCUAUUUAACUUUGGGGUGAUAAUAACUACUAGGAAGUUUUUUCCUCAUAUCAAGUAUAAAUUUUCUUCUUUACAACUUCCACUACCUAGUCCUCAUUCCUCUCCUGGUUCCUCUUCUGACCUUGUCUCCAUGUCUCUUCUGCCUUCUUAUCCUGAAACUUCCACCUGCCCUUGAGGUACUUCCUCUCCCAUUGCUGAGUUCAUUUCAGGACUUCCAUUUUGGGGACAGAUCUAAGAUGGUCUUUUAUUUUUCUCAUGGCUUUGCUUGGGCUCUGUGGGCUUUUCUCUCUCUUUUUUUUAGUUUUUAAUUUUCAAAAUAUAUGCAUAGAUAAUUUUCAACAUUCACUUUUGCAAAACCUUGUGUUUCAAAUUUUUUUCUCCUUCCUUUCCUCUUACCCCAUUCCUUAGACAAGUAAUUCAAUAUAUGUUAAACAUGCAAUUAUUGAUAGGAAAACUGGAAAAUAAUAUGUCAGAAACUUGUCAUGGACCUACACUAUACCACCUACCCCAAACCAAAAUAAAAUCAAACUAGGUACAUGAUUUGGGCAUAGAGGAUGAUACCAUAAAUAAAUCAGAAGAGCAAUUUACCCAUCAGAUCUUUGGAGAAGGGAGGAAUUUCUGACCAAAGAAAAAUUAGAGAACAUUAUAAAAGGCAAAAUGGACAACUUUGAUUACAUUAAAUUAAAAAGGUUUUGCACAAACAAAACCAACAGAAACAAGAUUAAAAGAGAAGUACAAAGCUGGGAAAAAAUCUUUACAAGUAAUGUUUGUGAUAAAGAUUUCAUUUCUUGAAUGUAAACUGCUUGCAUUUUUGUUUUUCUUCCCGGGUUAUUUAUAGCUUCUGAAUCCAAUUCUCCCUGUGCAACAAGAGAACUGUUUGGUUCUGCAUACAUAUAUUGUAUCUAGGAUAUACUGUGACAUAUUUAACAUGUAUAGGACUGCUUGCCAUCUGGGGGAGGGGGUGGAGGGAGGGAGGGGAAAAAUCGGAACAGAAGUGAGUGCAAGGGAUAAUGUAAAAAAUUACCCUGGCAUGGGUUCUGUCAAUAAAAAGUUAUUUAAAAACAAGAUUUCAUUUCUAAAAUAUAUAAAGAACUAAGUCAAAUUUAUAAGAAUACAAGUCAUUCCCCAAUUGAUAAAUGAUCAAAAAAUAUGAACAAUUUUCAGGUUGUGAAAUUAAAGCCAUCUAUAGGCAUUUGAAAAAGUGCUCUAAGUCACUAUUGAUUAGAGAAAUGCAAAUUAAGACAAUUCUGAUGAUCACCUCACACAUAUCAGAUUGGCUAAGAUGAUAGGAAAAGAUAAUGAUUAAUGGAGUGAUGUGGGAAUUGUGCAAUGCUAAUGCAUUAUUGGUGGAGUUGUGAAAUUAUCCAACCAUUUUGGAGAGCAAUCUGAUUCUAUGCCCAAAGGAGUAUCAAACUAUGAUCCAGCACUAUCACUCAGGUGCAAAAUGUUUAUAGCAGCUCUUUUUGUAGUAGCAAAGAAAUGGAAAAUGAAUGAAUGCCCAUCAAUUGGGGAAUGGCUGAAUAAGUUGUGGUACAUGAAAAUAAUGGAAUAUAAUCAGAGUCCCAAAAAACUAUUUUAAUGACCUAGAAAAAAUAACAACAAAGUUCAUAUGGAAAAACAAAAGGUCAAGAAUUGCAAGGGAAUUAAUGAAAAAAAAAUCAAAUGAAGGUGGCUUAGCUGUACCAGAUCUAAAAUUAUAUUAUAGAGCAGCAGUUACCAAAACUAUUUGGUAUUGGUUAAGGAAUAGAUUAGUUGAUCAGUGGAAUAGAUUAGGUUCAAGGGAUAAAACAGUCAACAAAUA